rnacentral:tRNA from 5 species
AGGAUAAUAGUUAAAAAUAACAUUUGAUUUGCAUUCAAAAAGUAUUGAUUAUUCAAUUUAUCUUA